rnacentral:rRNA from 1 species
UUGUGAAAUUCAAUUUAAUUUGAGUAUAAAAAAUUAUUAAAUAAUUUAAAUAAAAUAUUUCUAUUUUUUAGUAUUAAUAAGAAAAAAAAAUAAUUAUUAUAGUUGAUUAGUAUUGUAAAAGAAAUUUUAAAAAUGUAUUAAAGAAAGUUUAAUUUACUGUACCUUGUGUAUCAGGGUUUAUUAAUUAUAUUUAAAAAUUUAUUUAUCCCGAUUUAAUAAGAGUUAAUAAAUUAUAAAUUUAAUUGUUGAAUAAAUUUUUAAAAUAAUUUAUUAGUAAUGAAACGUUAUUCGUUUAUUAAUAUAUCUGGUUUUUAACGAAAAAAAUUAAAUUUGUUAUUUAAGAUUAAUUAAUAAAAUUUUAUAUUAAUUAUUAUUAAGUAGAAAUAUUUUUUAGGAUUAGCUAAAAAAUAAAUUUUUAAAAAUAAAUAAAUAAUAAAAUAAUUUAUAGGAUUAGAAAUUUUCAUUGAUAUUUUGUUAUAAUUAAUUAUAUGUAAUUAUUAUUUAUAUAAAUUUUAAAUUUUUUAUUUAAAAUAUUUAUUUAAUAUUUAAAUAAAUUAUAUAAUGAUAAAAUUAGUAUAAAUUUAUGUAAAAUUAUUUUUAAUUGAAAGGUAAAAUAAAGGAAUUCGGCAAAUUUAUUUUUCGCCUGUUUAUUAAAAACAUGUCUUUUUGAGUAUAAUCUAAAGUUUGACCUGCCCAAUGAAAAUUAAAUGGCCGCAGUAUUUUGACUGUGCAAAGGUAGCAUAAUAAUUAGUUUUUUAAUUAAAAGCUAGAAUGAAUGGUUGGACGAAAAAAUAACUGUCUCUAUUUUAAUAAUUUAGAAUUUUAUUUUUAAGUAAAAAAGCUUAAAUAUAAUUAAAAGACGAGAAGACCCUAUAGAGUUUAAUAUUAAAAUUAUUUUAAAAAAUGAAGUAUUUAAAUUUUUUAAAUAAUUAAAUAUUUUAUUGGGGUGAUAGAAAAAUUUAUUUAACUUUUUUUUUAUUUUAACAUUUAUUUAUGAAUUAUUGAUCCAUAAUAUUAUGAUUAUAAGAAUAAAUUACCUUAGGGAUAACAGCGUAAUUUCUUUAAAGAGUUCUAAUCGAAAAAGAAGAUUGCGACCUCGAUGUUGGAUUAAAAAUUAAUUUUGGUGGAGAAACUAAAAAAUUAGGUCUGUUCGACCUUUAAAAUUUUACAUGAUCUGAGUUUAAACCGGUGUGAGCCAGGUUGGUUUCUAUCUUUAAUAAAUUAUUAUAUUUUAGUACGAAAGGACCAUUUAUAAAUAAUAUUUAUUUUUUAAAGAAUAGUAUUA